CAGAGGAGAACAGAAAUCACUGGUCAGCUCUGAAUUCCUCCAUGCAGUGAGAAAUUCCAAGUCGGUUAUGGGUCUGCACCGACCUAGGGAGGGAGCCAAGGACGGUGGAAAGAAUACUGAAUGGAGACACAAGAGGCCAGUUCUGUGAACUCAGGGUUGCCUGGGCGAAGACCUGCAAGCCUCCCAGAUCUGGAUUCCCUACCCAAGUGCCAGGAAGCAUUGUCUCUUCAAGAUGUGCGAUGACCAUGCCGGGUCUAGACCUUUAAGAUUCUACCUCCUUCCUCUUUGCUCGCCAACGUUUUAAAAGUAAUGUGUUUGCUGCAGGCCCUCGCUGGACGAAGUGCAGUGUGCAGUAUGAUUAGAAAUUCAAAGAAAUUUUUUGACAGGAAAUUGUGCAAGAUGGACUUCAUCAGCAUUCCUUUGCUUGUAGAGCACAGAUUUGAAGCAGUACUCCUGUGAUUCUGGGUGUGAGGAUGUAUGUUUUGUGAGGGCUGUGAGUUUGGGGACGAGCGCCUCCGAAGUGAGUUCUCCUCAGUUGGGUUUCAGCAGCAGUGUUCAGCGGACUGCAGGGUGCAGGUGCAGGUGCUGUCUACCACGCCUCGUUACUGAGAAUCAACUGUCUUCCCACCCUCUGUUUGUCAGUGCUUGUUAGAGUCACUGAGACCGGCACACACCUGAGGGAACUACAGCUCAACUGAGAGUUUAAAAUACAUCUUAAGAAACCAAGCCUAAAGAGAUUUUUUUGACAAAGAGUGUUUUCAAACCAUUGUAAAGAUGUUCAAUGACCUCAGAAAAACAAUUCAUAAACAAUGAGAAUAUCGAGAGAGACAGAACAUAUUAAA